rnacentral:rRNA from 1 species
AGCGUUGUUCGGAAUCACUGGGCGUAAAGCGUACGUAGGCGGCUUUGUAAGUUAGAGGUGAAAGCCUGAUGCUCAACAUCAGAAUUGCCUUUAAGACUGCAUCGCUUGAAUCCAGGAGAGGUGAGUGGAAUUCCGAGUGUAG